rnacentral:rRNA from 1 species
CAGCACCUCAAGUGGUCAGGAUGAUCAUUGGGCCUAAAGCGUCCGUAGCCGGCGCUGUAAGUUUUCGGUUAAAUCUGUACGCUCAACGUACAGGCUGCCGGGAAUACUGCAGCGCUAGGGAGUGGGAGAGGUAGACGGUACUCGGUAGGAAGGGGUAAAAUCCUUUGAUCUAUUGAUGACCACCUGUGGCGAAGGCGGUCUACCAGAACACGUCCGACGGUGAGGGAUGAAAGCUGGGGGAGCAAACCGGAUUAGAUACCCGAGUAGUCC